CAGUUGCAGCGCAGGUGUCUCUCAUUGACAAUCAUCAUCAGCUGGUGCAGGAGCAGGUGGAGAAGUUGCCAAUCAAGCUCCACUCUCUCCACAAUAUAACCAGACGCCACUCACCUCUCAGCGCCGGAUCGUGAUACAUCCCGGUUCUACCUGCUCCUGCUUCAAUUCAUCCUGGUUUCUUCGUCACCUCCAGUAUCCUGUUCAGCGUUCUGGAAAUACUCUCCUGUGCCGUUUUCCUCCAUCCUGGCGUUCAUCCACACUCACCUGUCGCUGCUACUCGCCAUUCAUCAUCCAGACUCUGAACCAUCCGUCUAGAUCCACCUGCUGCUUACAGUCAUGAGCCCAGUCCGAGCAUCUUGUUUUGUAUUCAGUGAAAGUAGCAGUUCCUCCUGAAGGUCAGAGAUUGCAGCAUCUGAGGGCCUCUUCAAAAGAAGACGUAGUUGAUGAAGGCGUUCUGGAGCAGGACCAGAAAGACCACAACCAAGCAGCCUUGAGAUCUUAGGCAGCGUCUCCCUCAGGUCCCUCUCUAUCUCCCCACACAUCCACCAACCACUGGAACACAUCUCCAAAGUUCUGCUGGGCCAGCUCAGCUUCCCCUCAGAAGAAGUGGCGCCACCUGCCAGAUGAAGGAGCCUUUUGAGAGGCAGCUGGCAUCGUGAUUGGACUGUACUUUGGUCUGUUCCAAUCCAGCUUCAGCUCCAGAGACGGCAGGCGGGACGAGUCAACGGAGGCCGGGUGGACGAAGGCAUGAAGCUGAGUACAAUCCAUCAGUACAAUCCAUGAGUACAUCAUAGUAUAGCCUUUGGUAUGAAAAAACACCAUAAUAUACAUCAUAUAUUGUACAAAUAAGAAGUCAAAGGAAAGAGACAUACAUUGUAGACUUGUAGUAAUUGUGGGCUGACUGAUUUACUGAUUAUCAGUAUUUUAUUUUUUACUGAUUUACGGUAAUAAAUAAAUCUAAAAAUGGCGCUAUUUUGGCUCUGAACCUUUAUCUACCUGUGGUCGCUCUGUCUUCUGGAGUGAUUUGAUUGGUUAUACGUCACGAAUAAAACUCCUUUAACUUAACAUCUGUAAACAAAACAAAAACGUAUCAACAAAGUUUUCUGUUAAAGUUCUUCUAAGUUUAACACCAAGGUUUUAAAUACUUUCAUUUACUGCAAAUGAAUAUCUACUCCAAAUGUCUCACGAAUAAUCAUUAUCAGCCUUAAAAACCCACAAAACACCCCUCUAUACUGGACCACACUUAGUACAGUCCGGUUCCCCCUACUAUAAAUCUGCUUGGAAUCUUCCACUUCCUGUUUGUCAAAGUGGCCUUCUACCUGGACAGGUUUUGUUGGAGCUCAUGCAACAAACAUUUUGGGU